GCCUAGCCCUAAACACAAAUGCCCCCAUAUUACACCAUUCGCCAGGGAACAACGAGCCCCAGCUUAAAACCCAAAGGACUUGGCGGUGCUUUAGACCCCCCUAGAGGAGCCUGUUCUAGAAUCGAUACUCCCCGUUCAACCUCACCCUCCCUUGUUUUCCCCGCCUAUAUACCGCCGUCGUCAGCUUACCCUGUGAAGGAUAAAUAGUAAGCAAAAUUGGCAAAGCCCAAAACGUCAGGUCAAGGUGUAGCGCACGGGAGGGGAAGAAAUGGGCUACAUUUACUGAAUCAGUAAAAACGGAUUUUGCACUGAAAUGAGCAUCUGAAGGAGGAUUUAGCAGUAAGAAGUGAACAGAGCGCACUUCUGAAAACGGCCCUGAAGCGCGCACACACCGCCCGUCACUCUCCCCGAAAAACCAUAAAAGAUAACUAAUACUUCUUCCACAAAGAAGGGGAGGCAAGUCGUAACAUGGUAAGUGUACCGGAAGGUGCACUUGGAAAAACC
rnacentral:rRNA from 1 species